GACGAACGCUGGCGGCGUGCUUAACACAUGCAAGUCGAACGGAAAGGCCCUGCUUUUGUGGGGUGCUCGAGUGGCGAACGGGUGAGUAACACGUGAGUAACCUGCCCUUGACUUUGGGAUAACUUCAGGAAACUGGGGCUAAUACCGGAUAGGAGCUCCUGCUGCAUGGUGGGGGUUGGAAAGUUUCGGCGGUUGGGGAUGGACUCGCGGCUUAUCAGCUUGUUGGUGGGGUAGUGGCUUACCAAGGCUUUGACGGGUAGCCGGCCUGAGAGGGUGACCUGCCACAUUGGUCCUGAGAUACGGCCCAGACUCCUACGGGAGGCAGCAGUGGGGAAUAUUGCACAGUGGGCGGACGCCUGAUGCAGCAACGCCGCGUGCGUGAUGACGGCCUUCGGGUUGUAAACCGCUUUCGCCUGUGACGAAGCGUGAGUGACGGUAAUGGGUAAAGAAGCACCGGCUAACUACGUG
rnacentral:rRNA from 1 species